GGUAUUGUUUGCCCCACGAUGAGCCCCGGAAACUCAAUUGGAUCAAACAGACA
rfam:Trichococcus sp. R210 isolate Trichococcus_R210 genome assembly, contig: TR210DRAFT_scaffold-12